GUGGGGAAUCUUGCGCAAUGGGCGAAAGCCUGACGCAGCCAUGCCGCGUGAAUGAUGAAGGUCUUAGGAUUGUAAAAUUCUUUCACCGGGGACGAUAAUGACGGUACCCGGAGAAGAAGCCCCGGCUAACUUCGUGCCAGCAGCCGCGGUAAUACGAAGGGGGCUAGCGUUGCUCGGAAUUACUGGGCGUAAAGGGCGCGUAGGCGGAUCGUUAAGUCAGGGGUGAAAUCCCAGAGCUCAACUCUGGAACUGCCCUUGAUACUGGCGAUCUUGAGUGUGAGAGAGGUAUGUGGAACUCCGAGUGUAGAGGUGAAAUUCGUAGAUAUUCGGAAGAACACCAGUGGCGAAGGCGACAUACUGGCUCAUUACUGACGCUGAGGCGCGAAAGCGUGGGGAGCAAACAGGAUUAGAAACCCUAGUAGUCC
rnacentral:rRNA from 1 species